rnacentral:rRNA from 1 species
AGCGAACGCUGGCGGCAGGCUUAACACAUGCAAGUCGAGCGGGCAUCCUUGUGGUGUCAGCGGCAGACGGGUGAGUAACGCGUGGGAACGUGCCCUUCGGUUCGGAAUAACUCAGGGAAACUUGAGCUAAUACCGGAUACGUGCGAGAGCAGAAAGGUUUAUCUGCCGAAGGAUCGGCCCGCGUCUGAUUAGCUAGUUGGUGAGGUUAUGGCUCACCAAGGCGACGAUCAGUAGCUGGUCUGAGAGGAUGAUCAGCCACACUGGGACUGAGACACGGCCCAGACUCCUACGGGAGGCAGCAGUGGGGAAUAUUGGACAAUGGGGGCAAACCUGAUCCAGCCAUGCCGCGUGAGUGAUGACGGCCUUAGGGUUGUAAAGCUCUUUUCUGCGGGACGAUAAUGACGGUACCGGAGGAAUAAGCCCCGGCUAACUUCGUG